GGCUACAUCACAUUGAAACACUGGUUCCUGUAUGAUCACCAAAGUUAAGCAACAUCAAGCCUGAUCAGUAUGUAGAUGGGUGACCACUUAGAAAUACCACGUACUGUAA